rnacentral:rRNA from 1 species
CAGUCGCCACGGUAAUACGUAGGGUGCGAGCGUUAAUCGGAAUUACUGGGCGUAAAGCGUGCGCAGGCGGUUGUGUAAGACAGGUGUGAAAUCCCCGGGCUUAACCUGGGAACUGCGCUUGUGACUGCACAGCUAGAGUGCGGCAGAGGGGGAUGGAAUUCCGCGUGUAGCAGUGAAAUGCGUAGAUAUGCGGAGGAACACCGAUGGCGAAGGCAAUCCCCUGGGCCUGCACUGACGCUCAUGCACGAAAGCGUGGGGAGCAAACAGGAUUAGAUACCCCCGUAGUCCCUGUCUCUUAUAC